GACGAACGCUGGCGGCGUGCUUAACACAUGCAAGUCGAACGGAAGGGCCCUGCUUUUGUGGGGUGCUCGAGUGGCGAACGGGUGAGUAACACGUGAGUAACCUGCCCUUGACUUUGGGAUAACUUCAGGAAACUGGGGCUAAUACCGGAUAGGAGCUCCUGCUGCAUGGUGGGGGUUGGAAAGUUUCGGCGGUUGGGGAUGGACUCGCGGCUUAUCAGCUUGUUGGUGGGGUAGUGGCUUACCAAGGCUUUGACGGGUAGCCGGCCUGGGAGGGUGACCGGCCACAUUGGGACUGAGAGACGGCCCAGACUCCAACGGGAGGCAGCAGUGGGGAAUAUUACACAAUGGGAGGAAGCCUGAUGCAGCAACGCCGCGUGCGGGAUGACGGCCUUCGGGUUGUAAACCGCUUUCGCCUAAGACGAAGCGUGAGUGACGGUAAUGGGUAAAGAAGCACCGGCUAACUACGUG
rnacentral:rRNA from 1 species